rnacentral:rRNA from 1 species
AGAAUCAACGCUGGCGGCGUGCCUCAGACAUGCAAGUCGAACGCGAAAGUCCCCUUCGGGGGACAAGUAGAGUGGCGCACGGGGUGAGUAACACGUAGGUAAUCUACCUUCGGGUGGGGAAUAACAAUCGGAAACGGUUGCUAAUACCGCAUAAUGCAGCGGCACCUAAUGGUGACAGUUGUUAAAGCGGGGGAUCGCAAGAUCUCGCGCCUGAAGAGGAGCCUGCGGCGGAUUAGCUAGUUGGUAGGUAAUGGCCUACAAGCGACGAUCCGUAGCCGG